AACGGCCAUACCAUGCUGAAUAUACUGGUUCUCGUUAGAUCACCGAAGUCAAGCAUCAUUGGGCGCGGUCAGUACUUGGGUGGGUGACCACCUGGGAACCCCGCGUGCCGUU
rnacentral:rRNA from 1 species